UUUAUUUUUUUGUAAGGUGUUGGAAUUUUAACUCGUAACCGCCAUUUUCCCGCGAGUGCAAAGAGGAACUCCAACAAACUCAGCUGAAAACGUCACUUCCUCACCAAAAACUCCGAUUAAAAUCACGAAAUUCCGGCGAAUUAAUCGAUUUUCCGAUCAAUCUCCGGCUAAAUUCCAUCAAAAUGUUUACAAUCCAAAUUCAUUCAGUAGACACAGAGCACCCACUUUUUCUCUCUCUUCCGUCAAACUCAAACCCUAGCCCUAACCUUAACCCUAAAUUCGUUGAGCGUAGAGGCAUAGUUCAUCUCUUCCGAACCCUAAUCCGCCAUCCCUCAACUUCUGAUUCAUCUGCAUCUGCCGCCAAAUCCACUCUCCUCUAUAUUGUAGCUGUUCCUAACUAUUUUUCCUCUGACGAUUUACUUCGAUUUUUCGGGUCCCAUAUCGCCGAUGUCUCCGAAUUUAUCAUCAUUAGGAAUGAUGGCGUGGAGGAUAGAUACAGUGUUUUGAUUAGAACAUGGAUUCAGGUUUCGGCUGAUGCAUUUUAUCGCAAUUUCAAUGGGAAGCGAUUUUCUCCUCCGGAGGUUGAGAUAUGCCACAUUCUAUUUGUUCUUUCAGUGGAGUUUACUGAACUGGGAGAAAUUGCGAGCACCUCGCCUUCUGGUUAUGUUGAGCUGCCUACUUGCCCCAUCUGCCUAGAGAGACUGGACCAAGAUACUAGUGGAAUACAGAGUACAUUGUGCGAUCAUUCAUUUGACUGUUCUUGCAUUUCUAAAUGGACUUAUUUGUCUUGCCAGGUCUGUCGAUUAUGUCAGCAGCCGGAUGAUAGGCCGAACUGCUCUGUUUGUGAUACAUCAGAAAACCUCUGGGUCUGCAUCAUAUGUGGCUUUGUUGGAUGUGGAAGGUAUAAAGAAGGACACACUUUCAGGCAUUGGAAAGAUACACAACAUUGCUAUUCACUCAAUUUAGAGACUCAAAGGGUUUGGGAUUAUGAAGGUGACAAUUAUGUUCAUCGAUUAAAUCAUUCCAAAGAUGAUGGAAAAUCUGUAGUGGGUGACCCACAUUGCAUGUCUAAUGAUGGAGAGUGUGGUACCUGCGGUCAUGGUGAGGAUUCAGAAAUGACUGGUGCUCUCUACGGCAGCAAAGUCGAAGCAAUUACAGAUGAGUACAACCAUCUUCUUGCAACUCAACUGGAGAACCAUAGACAGUAUUAUGAAUCUCUUCUUGUUGAGGCCAAAAGUAAAAAGGUGAAUAGUGUUGCCGAAGUAGUGGAGAAGGCUGUAACAACAAGGAUGCAAGACCUACAUUGUAAACUGGAAAAGUACGAAGAAGACAAAAAGACAGUUAUGGAUAUGAAUUGUAUUCUGAUGAAGGGUCAGGAAGAGUACAAGAAAAAGAUGAAGGAAAUUGAGGAAAGGGAGAUGAAGUCUCUAAGAUCAAGGGAUGAACAGAUUCUCGAUCUGGAGGAGCAGAUCCGAGAUCUUACUAUCUACAUGGAAGCGCAAAGGAAGAUUAGCAGCAUAGCAGAUUCAGAUGGCAUAAGAGGAGGAACAUUGUUGCCUAUGCCUCAAAUGCAAUCCUCUCCUGCCAAUACUAAGAGGCGUACAAAGCCAGGGCGACAUCGUAGUUAAACUUUCAUGUUAGGACUUCCUUGUGUGUACAGAGAUAUGAUUGUGUGAAGGUGUGAAGUGACUUAUCAUGUGAAUAUGAAACAAUGUUAUGCAAAUUUUGAGAUAAGACGCGGAGACCAAGAGGCCGCAUGCCCCUUGAAUUCAAUUGCUCUUCCAAGGAAUCUUGUCAGAAUUGAAUGUUUUAUGGUCCAGGCACUGAUGAAAUCCGUGUGUUUUGCAGAGUUCUCGGUAUUUAUUUUGCUGCAUUAAACAUUUUCUAAGUAAAAUGAGGAGUUGCUAUGGCCAUCAGAGGAGUCUCCCUGUGAGUUGUAAGUCCAGGGUGUUCCUCCAUGUCCAAGUUCUUUCCGUCUGGCAACGCCCAAUCAAACUUCUGUAUGAGAUUUGCUAUUACAAGCUCUAAGUUUGCGGUGCCAAAUAAAAUUCCCGGGCAUCCCCUCCUUCCUGAUCCAAACGGAAUCAAAUUGAAGUGAUGCCCCUUAAAAUCUAUGGGAGAAUUCAAGAACCUCUCGGGAUUGAAUUUUUCAGCUUCUUUCCAAAAGGUCGGUUCUCUAUGAAUAGCCCAUGCAUUGAUGAUGACUUGUGUUCUAGCAGGUACGUCAUAGCCACUGAGUUGAGUUUCUUGAGAUGAUAUGCGAGGCAGUAACAAAGGAACUGGAGGAUGUAGCCUAAAAGUCUCCUUGAUUACUGCUUUCAAGUACUCCAUUUUCUCAAGAUCAUUCUCUGUUAUGUUUGUUUUACCUUUGGUAAUUCCUCUCACCUCUUUCUUGAGUGAUUCCAUGAUCGAAGGAUUCCUUAGAAGUUCCGACAUGGCCCAUUCUAGUGUUGCGAAAGUUGUUGUGGAUCCAGCUACAAACAUGUCCUACAUCAUACAAUUAGAUUAGUUAGUGAAUGUAAGUUGUUGAAAACAAUGAUAUAAUCACAUUGGAUAUGCCGAAGUUGAAGUUUUUAGGAGAUUAAUCCGUUGGUAGCCGGCCAUAAAUGUUUUCAAUGGGAAUUGAUUUGUAUGUAAAUUUGUAAAGAAAAUCAAUAUUCAUUUCCAUGGUAUGGUAGUUCACUCAAUAAUAUCUCAUUUUCUUUAUAAAUUUUCAUUACCAUCUAUUACCAUUUGGGUAGCAGUAUUAGGUGGGAAUGAAAAUUUAUGAAGAAAAAUACCAGGUUUGUGACAAAAUUUUACACCAAGAUGUAAUUUUCUUGUCAUAUAACACUGGAAUUUAUUCCCAUUCCAACCAUUUAUUAUCGGUUACCAAACGGACUGUAAGGUGCAUGUAACUUACCAAUACAAUGGCUUUGAUGUUGUCCUUGUCAAGGCUUAUUUCGGCUGUAUGAUCUUGUUGCAGGCCAAGGAGAACAUCUACAAAGUCUUUGGUGUUCUCAUAGUUAGCCCCUUGAUCUAUACCUUGUAUUUUCCUUAACGCAUCCAUAUGCUCUUGGACUAAGCGUUGAAGAAACCUAUCCAUAUCCCUAGUUACUGUCUUAACAUCGCGCUCCACACCAUUUACAUGAUUAAUCCAACCUAGCCAAGGGAUAAAAUCACCUACAUUGAUUCUGCCUACUAGCUCUUCGUGCUUUUCAUGCAAUUCCAUGAAGUUGAUCCCGUCUCUUUCUCCAUUAAACUUCAUCCCAAAAGCCGCCCUGCAUAUCACAUCAGUUGCAAACUUAGAAAACAUCUUACUUAAGUUCACUGCUGUUGGCGACCUCCUAAUCUCUUGGACUAUAAGUGCUAUUUCUUCUUCUCUGACAACGCGGAAUGCCUGUACUCUGUUGUAACUUAGGAGUUGAUUGACACAUAUGCUUCUCACUCGCCUCCAAUAAUCACCAUAAGGUGCUGUUGCUACAUCUCUGCAGUCGUACAGAAGCCUCUUGAACAUGCUUAAAGCAGGCCUGUCUGCAAAGAUAGUAUCAUGAGAUUUCAUGAUCGUACAAGCUGCCUCUGCUGAUGAGACUAUGAGGACAGGGCUUCGGCCAAAGUGAAGCAACAUGACAUCGCCAUGUUGUUUGGCUAAAGCAUGCAGUGAUCGGUGUGGUAGUUUUUUGUCGAUUUGGUGGAAGUUUCCGAUGAUUGGCAGUUUUGAUGGCGAAGGUGGCAGGUGUUUUCGGGUUUUGUGGUUGCUGAAGAGGAUUUUGUAAAGGGGGCAUAAGAAUAACAAGAACAAUGGUAGGAAAGUAAAAGGGUGCAAGAAGAGGAAGCUCAUUUGGUUCUCCAACGAUUGCAUGAUAUUAGACAUUCUCUCCUCACAGUGAGACUUCGGUUUGCAUUUUUCAUGAAUAAAUGGUACAUGGACGAUGAAAAGUCUAAAAAACAUAACAUACUGAGUCUUGCUACCACCCACUUUCCCCUAAAUCUCAUAGUAUGUUUAGGAGAAUCGUGGUUUGGCAACUAAAAUCAGGUCAGAUGUCUUGUGCAUGGAUAUACCGAAAGCUUCUGAAAGAUUCAAAUCUUUGACUCCAACUCCUGGUGGAAGUUCCCAGUCAAAGCUGUGGAGAAGCUGAGCAAGAGCGAGUUCUACAGUCACUGUUCCAAAAGUGAUGCCCGGACAUCCUCUUCUUCCUGCACCAAAAGGAUUUUGUGUCCCUUCCUAUGCCCACACAUUGAUGAAAAUCCGUGUUUUGGCAGGGAUAUCAAAACCUUCAAUGGUUACAUCUCUGAUGGACUCUCUUGGAACAAGUACAGGUACAGGGGGGUGUAGGCGAAAGAUCUCUUUUAUAACAGCUUUAAGGUAGUGCAGUUGAGAAAGGUGCCAAGGUUUUUGAGGAUCGUAUCUUUUGGUGAUUUCUUCCAAAGUCCUUGAAGAUUUCCUAGCAAUCUUUGUUUAUCUCUUGCAGCUUCGACGCUUGGUAAAGAUCUCAUUCAGUGUGGGAAUUGGACGGUUUGUCGUCUGAAGUUGGCCUUUAUAUAUGUUUUCUUCUGCUAAGUUCUUGUAGUCCAGUGAUCCAAAUUUGUAAUAUGUCUGCUCAAAGACAAUCUUCUGUGCAUAAUUGAAGAUAUUAUACUUCGUAUCAAAAUAACUCAUGUGAAUAAAGUCCAAGACAAAACAAGAAACAACAUAUUGCCUCA